AAAAAAAACAGCCCAAAAGCCCAAAUGAAUAAACCCUAAACUGAAGGAAGAGAACAAAUGAUUGUUGUGCGCCGCAUAGAAAACACGUGUCAGUGGGAAACAUUUUGAAGGACACAUAGGAACUGGAAGAGAAGGGAGUCGCCGUCAGAAGCUUCAAUUCCGGCCGAAACACCGGAAAACUUGUUUAAUUGGCAUAGCUCACUCGUCGCUCAAAAGAUUAAUGGCGAAAUUUCAGUUGUAGCUUGGACGAGAAUUUGACUCCACGAAGUGCAAAUCUUCUUCUUCUUCUUUUUCUUUUUCUUCCUCUUCUUCUUCAAUCAACAUCUUUUUAACUCUUAGGGUUCAUCAAUCUUUGAACUACAAGCAGAAGAUAAAAAAAAAACAAAUCAAAUCUAAAUCCGGUCAAAAAACCGGAGAAAAAACCGGCUAAAGACGCCGGAGAAAAGCCCGACGAAACAAGAAAGAGGGUAUCUUGCUCUCGGGAGAUAAGCCAGCCACCACCGCUAAAAGUAGCCGGUCGAUGCCGGAAGCUGAGCCAGCCAACGCUUCUAAGGAAGCCAGCGAUGCCGGAGUAGAAGCCGACCAAACACUGCUGAUAAAGCCAGUCAUUGCUGGCCAAAAAAGCUGAAACUCUCUGAAAGAUGAGGAGAGAGAAGAGAGAGAAAACCCUAUCAACGUGAAAAUA
rnacentral:sRNA from 1 species